CGGAGGGUGCAAGCGUUAUCCGGAUUUACUGGGUUUAAAGGGUGUGUAGGCGGGCUAUUAAGUCAGUGGUGAAAUCUCCGGGCUCAACCUGGAAACUGCCAUUGAUACUAUUAGUCUUGAAUUUUGUUGAGGUAGGCGGAAUAAGUCAUGUAGCGGUGAAAUGCAUAGAUAUGACUUAGAACACCAAUUGCGAAGGCAGCUUGCUAAACAAAUAUUGACGCUGAGGCACGAAAGCGUGGGGAUCAAACAGGAUUAGAUACCCUGGUAGUCCACGCCCUAAACGAUGAUUACUCGACAUACGCGAUACACAGUGUGUGUCUGAGCGAAAGCAUUAAGUAAUCCACCUGGGAAGUACGACCGCAAGGUUG
rnacentral:rRNA from 1 species